UAUUGCUUAUUGAAUAUAAAACUGGACAUUCAUAACAUUCACAAUAUUUUUUGUUACGCUAGAUUACUCAAAUUUAUAACUGAUAAUUCUUAAUAGGCAGUGUCGGGUUUAUAUACUGCUGAGCUGUUUAUGAAAGUUGGAGUACACAAAAACUCUGUUCGUCGUUGGUGCAAUUUUGUUAUCGGUUACAUUACAAUAUAAUGUUCAUUCUGGGGAACUAGAUCAAAAGCAUCUGUACUCUCUGGAGGUGGCUCCAACACUUUUCGAACAGUUUAUAAAAGAUUACCAUAAAGAGUAUGAUGAGAGCGAGAAGGAAGAAAGGUUUAAAAUAUUUGUGAACAAUUAAAAGGAUAUUAACGCUAUGAACGAGAGGAGUUCGAAUGCUGUUUACGGUAUCAAUAAGUUUUCGGAUCUGAGCAAAGAAGAAUUCAUAAAACAUUAUACUGGUCUGAAACGAGAGGAGAGUCCAUCGAAUGAGAAUCAUAAAAGUAGUGAUUUGCCAGAAUCAUUUAAUGUUACUGCACCGGAUCAGUUUGACUGGCGAAAGAAAGGAGUUGUCAGCAGCGUAAAGGUUCAAGGACAUUGAUCAGCCGUAAUAAAUAAUACUCUUGCUGUAUUCAAGGUAAUGUGGAAAGCACAUAUGCCAUAAACACUGGAAAAGUGAUAGACGUGUCUGAGCAACAACUAGUGGAUUGUGAUACCCGGGAUUAUGGAUGUUUAGGAGUGUUAGCGCGGUUUUCAAUGAGAUAUUUCCUCGAUAAUGGUGCAAUAUCUUUGAAGUCUUAUUCCUUACGUUGCUAAAGAAGGAAAAUGCCGUUAUGAUAGCAGUAAAGUUGUAAUCAGAUUAAAGGACUAUAAAAACAUCAGAAAACUAUCGGAAGACCAAAUUAAGAAACAUCUUUAUAAUAUCGGACCGUUAAGUAUAAGUAUCACCGCAUCAGAAUUCACUCGUUAAUGGUAUUAUUGUUGAUAACUCUCAUUAAAGUGACAAUAUAAACCACGAUGUCCUCCUGGUAGGAUGCGGAGAGGAGAAUGGUAUCGACUACUGGACCAUUAAGAAUUCUUGGGCUGAAAAUUGGGGAGAGACGGGUUAUGUUACUCCUCUCUGUAUGUAUGUUAUGUAAGGAGUGAAUCGUUUAUGUAUAACUCAUGAUGGAAUUACAGCUGUUAUUUAAUACAAGAAAUAAAUGCAAAUCCGACUAUCAUUAAUC